UACGUAGGGUGCAAGCGUUGUCCGGAAUUAUUGGGCGUAAAGAGCUCGUAGGCGGUCUGUCACGUCGGCUGUGAAAACCCGAGGCUCAACCUCGGGUCUGCAGUCGAUACGGGCAAACUAGAGUAUUGCAGGGGAGACUGGAAUUCCUGGUGUAGCGGUGAAAUGCGCAGAUAUCAGGAGGAACACCGGUGGCGAAGGCGGGUCUCUGGGCAAUAACUGACGCUGAGGAGCGAAAGCUAGGGGAGCAAACGGG
rnacentral:rRNA from 1 species